UACGAAGGGGGCUAGCGUUGCUCGGAAUCACUGGGCGUAAAGGGUGCGUAGGCGGGUUUUUAAGUCAGAGGUGAAAUCCUGGAGCUCAACUCCAGAACUGCCUUUGAUACUGAGAAGCUUGAGUAUGGGAGAGGUGAGUGGAACUGCGAGUGUAGAGGUGAAAUUCGUAGAUAUUCGCAAGAACACCAGUGGCGAAGGCGGCUCACUGGCCCAUAACUGACGCUGAGGCACGAAAGCGUGGGGAGCAAACAGG
rnacentral:rRNA from 1 species